rnacentral:rRNA from 1 species
UACGAAGGGGGCUAGCGUUGUUCGGAAUUACUGGGCGUAAAGCGCACGUAGGCGGGUUGUUAAGUCAGGGGUGAAAUCCCGGAGCUCAACUCCGGAACUGCCUUUGAUACUGGCAAUCUAGAGACUGGAAGAGGUUAGUGGAAUUCCCAGUGUAGAGGUGAAAUUCGUAGAUAUUGGGAAGAACACCAGUGGCGAAGGCGCGGUGCUGGACCUCAUCUGACGCUGAGGCGCGAAAGCCAGGGGAGCGAACGGG